rnacentral:rRNA from 1 species
CCUACGGGUGGCAGCAGUGAGGAAUAUUGGUCAAUGGCCGCGAGCCUGAACCAGCCAAGUCGCGUGAGGGAUGACUGCCCUACGGGUUGUAAACCUCUUUUAUCCAGGAGCAAAGCGAGCCACGUGUGCUUCUUUGUGUGUACUUUAUGAAUAAGGAUCGGCUAACUCCGUGCCAGCAGCCGCGGUAAUACGGAGGAUGCGAGCGUUAUCCGGAUUUAUUGGGUUUAAAGGGAGCGUGGUGGGAUGGUAAAGUCAGCGGUCAAAUUUCGGGGCUAAACCUCGUAUUGCCAUUGAUACUGGCAGCCUUGAGUGCAGUAGAGGUAGGCGGAAUGCGUGGUGUAGCGGUGAAAUGCAUAGAUAUCACGAAGAACUCCGAUUGCGAAGGCAGCAUAC